rnacentral:rRNA from 1 species
AGUGAACGCUGGCGGUAGGCCUAACACAUGCAAGUCGAACGGCAGCACAAGAGAGCUUGCUCUCUGGGUGGCGAGUGGCGGACGGGUGAGGAAUACAUCGGAAUCUACUCUGUCGUGGGGGAUAACGUAGGGAAACUUACGCUAAUACCGCAUACGACCUACGGGUGAAAGCAGGGGACCUUUGGGCCUUGCGCGAUUGAAUGAGCCGAUGUCGGAUUAGCUAGUUGGCGGGGUAAAGGCCCACCAAGGCGACGAUCCGUAGCUGGUCUGAGAGGAUGAUCAGCCACACUGGAACUGAGACACGGUCCAGACUCCUACGGGAGGCAGCAGUGGGGAAUAUUGGACAAUGGGCGCAAGCCUGAUCCAGCCAUACCGCGUGGGUGAAGAAGGCCUUCGGGUUGUAAAGCCCUUUUGUUGGGAAAGAAAUCCAGCUGGCUAAUACCCGGUUGGGAUGACGGUACCCAAAGAAUAAGCACCGGCUAACUUCGUGCCAGCCGCCGCAGUAA